AAAAAAAAAUAAAAGAGAGGGGGAGAAAGAGAGAGAAACAGAAAAAAAUCAAAGACUAAUCCUACAAAUUCUCCUUUAAUCUUAGAGUUUCCAGACCUAGUUUCUCUUUCAUCUAGGACUUCGAAGUUAUCUAGUUAUUUUAUGGGUAGUGAAACCACAAGGCGAAGAGAGGGUGGUGGGGGGGAGAUUAAAUUAAUGAGCAGGUAAGCAGGUUUAUUAUUUCGUCUGAUCCUUCCUUCCUGCUAAUUUCUCUGAGCCAAUUUGGGAGGCAGAGCCUAUCAUGUUAACUCAGAGACAGAGUAUUGUAUCCAUGUUCUUUCUGAAGCCAUUUAUCUGAAGGAUAUUAAAGAUCCAAUUUACAUAGACAUUAUGGCAUUGUGAGGAGGGUGUGUGCAUGUGCGCAAAUGAGAGAGAGAAAGAGAGAGAGAGAGCGCUAGGGUAUCCAUCCAAUUGGGCCUGUGUUUGUAUACAUGCUCAACCUCCAAUGAGUGCCAUCCCUCAUGAGGCUCUCAUAGAAGUUUGCAAUCACUCAGCAAGUUAGUUCAAGAAGUCACUGGGCCUUGACACAAAUCAGGCUCCAGGCAAUGGCGGAAAUGUUUAUUAAAUUUGUGCUUCAACCCUCAGGCUCCUGCAUUUCCUUAUUGCUCCUAGGUUCACAGUAGAGGAAAUAGGGCCCUCUUGAGCUUGAUAUCUGCUUAAUUAAAUGCCUGAUCGUAUUGCCCCAGCCCAUGCGUGUGCCUAUGUAAUGAGGCACAGGGUAGGAUAGAUGCAGAAAAGAGGUCAGAUUACCAGAUUAACCCUCAGCUCCUAGGUUAACCCCAUCCAGUAAACAGAGAGCCCUCGAUUCCCCACAAGGAAACUGCGUGACCUGGGACAUUCUACAUAAUCUGGCAGCCGGGACUGUCAUUUUAGUCACUCAUGAAAUGUAGAUUAAAAAACACCUAUUCUUCCUAUGAUUCUGCUUUGUUAAAAGCAUUGAAUGAAGAGAUAUACACAAUAGCAUGCUACAGAGAAUUUAGCAGGAAUGAGGGGAUAUGAAGCAACUACAGUGGUUUGUUGUGAAGAUUCUUUCAGGAAUAGCCAAUGUCCCUUUGCUUAUGUUGGGCUAAACAGGGAGCCUUCUGAUGGAUAAUCUGGCCUCCUAAGCAGACUUUCUCACCAGCCCAUGCCAAUGGCUAGUGCCAGCGGUCCUAUUAGGGAUGCUGCCAUUGUGAAUGAGUGUGCUGUCAUUCACCUCCAAUGCUUCCAUUCAUUCAUUGUGUAUUAGUCUGUUUUCACUCUGCUAGUAAAGACCUACCUGCCUAAGCCUUUGCUGAGCCUGAGCACCGGUGAGGGAGAAGCGCCUUUUGUUUUGAAGAAGCCCGGCCUGAGAGACAGAUGUCGAUGACUUCGUAAGAAGAGGCUUUGGUUGGAUUUGGGGAGCCAUUCGAAGGACACCCUGGAUAGAUCUGAGAAUGAACUCUCUGAAUUAGAAAUAAAGUAUAGCGGCAGGCUGGCUGAGUCUGGGUCAUUUAUUAAGGAAAGAGGUUUAAUUGACUCACAGUUACAUAUGGCUGGGGAGGCUUCACAAUCAUGGUGGAAGACAAAUGAGGAGAAAAAUCAUGUCUUACAUGGCAGCAGGCAAGAGAGCAUGUGCAGGGGAAUUCCCAUUUAUAAAACCAUCAGAUCUCGUGAGACUUAUUCACUACCAUGAAAACCGUAUGGGGGGAGCUGCCCCAUAAUUCAAUUAUCUCCACCUGGCCCUGCCCUUGACAUAUGGGGACUAUUACAAUUCAAGGUGAAAUUUGGGUGGGGACUCAGCGAAACCAUACCACAUUAGUUCUUCCAUUGUUCAGCUGCCAUUCAUUGAUGAUCUGGUACAAUUGUUCAUAGCCUUGACUUUCCUUUAGAUCACGCUGUGAAGUUAUAACUCUCAUGCCUGGGCCUAUUCCCAGACCAAUUAAUUCAGAGGCUCUGAGAGUGGCUCCUAGCCACUGGUAUUUUAGUAAGGCACCCUAGGCUGUUCUAAUGAGUAGACAGGGUUAAAAUCAUUGACCUGGUAUAUGCCAUACAUUGUGCUUGUCCCAGAAGAUACACAGAUGAAUAAGAUGCUCUUAGCUCAAUGCAAACCAUCCCCCUAGUACUGAUCACCCCUGGGAACAUGGGGUGAUUAUAUUAAUAUUUCUCAACUGAAAAGUUGAGACCUAAACUUUCUGAUGACCCCUCUAGAUGAUCUUCUCCACCUGCCUUUACUCAUGAGCCCAGCUUGCUGGCCUGACCCCUGCUCUUCAGAAUGAUAGGCAGUGCCUAAGUCCCAGGUAUCACUAAGAUCACCUUGGCUUCCCAGUGUGGCCUCUCUCCUGGUCCGGGCAUCUCUCAGGUCACUGCCUGGAGCACUGUUGGUGAAGCUGUUUUGGUGAUGGUUGGUCUGUUUUCCACCCAGGUUCUGGGCCAGAUCCUCAUGGAAUCCGUGAGAAGACAAUAUUCUCAACAGCUAUCUGCCUCAUAUUUCUUUCCUUCAGUUGCUUCCAGAAGAGUGGCUCUUUUCUUCCCUCUUGAAGCCUGGACUCUCGCUGGACCUGCAGUGAAGUUUAUGGUGGCAAGUUGAUUUCAAUACCUGAUUGAUUGAUAGCUGUUGCCUAGAAAGAAGGCUGCGUAGAAAAGGAUUUUGAGGUUGCACCUGGGCUCAGUGGGAAAGAAGGCUGCGGUUGAUUGGUGACAAAACUGAGGCUCAGAGGCCAAUGGCCUUGUUCAAGGUCACACGCCCACUAAAUGAGAGACCCGGAGACCUGGCAUCACAUGCAUCCCUUGAAUGUUUAUGAAACACCUAUCAUAUGCCAGACCUUGUGCCAAGUGCUCAGGAUGCAAGAGAUAAAGAUUUGAGAAAUGCAUUGUGUGACUAAGGUGACAAAGAAACAACAGCAAUUCACUGGGCUAAGUGGUUUGUACAACAACCAGGAGACAGCAGAUUAAUUCUGUCUAGGAGCUCAGGAUGGCACUUGAACCAGACCUUGAAAAAUGUGCACAGGAUUUUGCCAUCAGAGAAACAAGGUGAGGACAUGUUAAGCAGAGAGGACUUUGAACCAAAGCUCUGAAGCACAGAGGUCUAUGAUCUAUCAGUGGCAGCAGGUGAGGCUAGAGAAAGCUGGGACCAGAUUGGAAGAGGCCAGGGAGACUACCUGAAGGGGCUGGAUCUUACAUGAGAACAUUAGGAAGCCCCUAAAAUUCUGUAAGCAGGGAGGUGACAUGGCUAGAUGUGCUUUUCAGAAAGGCUUCCUGGGGCAUGAAGAAUGGACUGGACUGGAGGGGGAGGAAGGAGUGGGGUAACAAUAGAGGGGAAUAAUUCAGAAGACAGAAGAGGCCCAAAUUAGGCAACUGGCUAGGGGAAGGAAAGGUUUGGACUUGGUGAAAUGGAGCUGUGUGAAAAAAAGGAGUAGGAGCUGACUUGGGUGUCUGGUUCAGGAAAGAAGGAGGGUGGUGAUGUCAUUAACCUGGAGAAGGAACAAACUCAGCACAAAUGAUUCCCAGCUGUGCCUAUUCUCAAACACAGAAAAGCCAGAAAUAGGCUUGGCCCUGUGACCAGCAAGAGGGUCCCCUAUGAUCAGAUGAGAUUAAGGGGCUAAUAUCCUCAACUGACUUUAAGGUUGAAAGAAAAAAGGACCUCCCUUAAGUCCCUAUUUCUUUAUGUGUUUUGGAGGACCCUAAGAAAAAUGGGGGUGAAUAAUUGUUUAGGAAAAUAUAAACAUAAAGACUGUAUUAUUUUAUAACUACCUUACAACUAUAACUAUAUUGCAUAAUAUAAAGUGGUAAAAUUAUAAAUGUUCUAGUGUUUAAAAAUUAAUGGAACCAUGGGUGAAUUUUAUUUGUAUAUACUUUUCUAUGUUUUUCAAAUCUUCUAUCAUGAACAUACAUAAUUUUUAUAAUGAAAAAAGUUAACUCUAAAAAAAUGCGCAAAAGACUUGAGUAAACGCAGAAGACAACCAAGUAACCAAUAAAUAAAAAGAUCCCUACCUUUAUUAGACAUCAAGAAAAUGCUAUGUAAAGUCACUAUACAAUGCUACUACAUAUGUAGCCAACUGAUAAAAUGAAAAAGAUGGAAAAUAUCAAGUGUUGGCAUGAAUGUAGAAAAAAUGGAACUCUCAUACAUUGCUUGUAAGGAGUGUAAAUUUAUAGAAUUAUUUUGUAAAACUUCUUGUUAGUAUAUUUUAUGUACACUAUAGCUGAACAUAUGCAAACACUACAACCAAGCAAUUCCACUCCUAAGUAUAUAUCCAAAAGAAAUGCAUACAUAUGUUGACCAAGAAAUAAGUACAGUGUUCACAGUAUAACUAUUUGUAGUCAUACCAAUCUGGAAACUAUUCUAAUGCCCAUCAAUAGUACACUAGAUAAAUUAUGAUAUAUUAAUACGGUGCAAUAUGAUGCAGCAAUGAAAAUUAGCAUUCUACAGCUAUAUGCAAUAGUAGGAAUGCUUCUCAAAGACAUAAUUUUGAGUGAAAGAAGAGAGACAUUUAUAGGAAGACAAAGCCAAUCUAUGCCAUUUGAAGUCUGGAUGAUGCUUACUCUUGUGGAAUGUAUAACUAGAAGGGAGCAUGGUGAAGGCUUCUGGAGUCCUAGUAAUGUUUUGUUUCUUAUGGGUGCUGAUUGAUUAUACAGGUACAUUUCUGGGAAUUCAUUGAGCUGUAUGAUAUAGUGUAUGUAUGUUAUACUUCAAUAAAAACUUAAAAUAUAUAAAUAUUGGUCUAAAAAUCAACUAAAAUAGAGCAGUAGAAAUAAGACACUGGUGAUUAUACCAGUAAUAUUUAGGGGAACUCCCUGGUUCCCUAGCCUGGUUUUAGUGUCUACAGGUGAUGGUAGGAGGACAGAGCUAGGUGCUAGGAAUUGUAACACAGAGGUAAAAGACAUCUACACCAGCAUUUCUAGAUCCAUAAAGCCCCAGGAUCUGAAAAAAAAAAAACCACAUUUCUUCUUAUUGAGUAUAGGAACAAGUACCUAAUAUUAGGAAUGAAAAAGGUGAUACUACUACAGAUCCCACAGAACUAAGAAGAACAUGAAGCUAUUAUAAACAACUCCAUACCAAUACAUUUGCAACUGUAGGUUUAAUGGACAUAUUUCUCAAAAAAAAAAAAAAAAUCCCACAACUUACCAAAA